AAACAGCAAGCUUUUAGACUCAAAAAGCUUAGACCAUCAUGGCUACAAACACUACUGCUACUCAGAAAAUAUGUAAUUCUGGAGAUCCUUAGUAAAAAAGUAGUGCAAGGCAACAUCAGAGCAGUUGCCAAGUGAUCUUCUCCACAGCACCCAUGAACUUCAGCCUUGAACUGAAGAGGACUCAUCAAAUGGAGAGACAGCAUGGAAUUGGAAGAGAAGUAGGGGUCUCCAUGGAGGGCAGUCAACUACAGUCUUGGUGUGUGGAGGAACACGUCCUGUUCUUGCUGUUGUUACUCCCACAUAGGCGGACUCUGUAAUUGAUUAUGUGUGGGUAGGGCCCUAUUGAAAUUAAGGAGAUUCUGCAGUAGUACAGGGUUCUUUUUGUGAAAGUUCAGUUGCAAGAUCAGGACCCUACUGUGACUCCUUACUGUGAAUUCUGUCAGUGUAUCAUUGAUUGUGCUGGAACCUGCCUUUUGGGAUAAUUACCAAAUAAUAUAUUCCUCAAAACUUCUUAAUGGCACUGAGGCUUUGUGGAUAGUUGGUCACAUGAUGAGAAAAUUGAGCUCUACCAUCUCUUCUGAAGCUUUUCACUUGCUACCUCUCUGACCAUCCUACCUUCCAUGUUGAGAAUACUGUCCUAACUUCUGAUGUGGAAGACUGCUGACCUUUUCCUUUGAUGCUGAUACCAGUAUUUUCUAUGGGAGAUAGUACUGUAGUGAAGACAUAGAAAAAGAAGAAUAUGGCAUUUGUCAAUUUUUUAUAGUUUUGAAUAUAGUUAAGCAAAAUUGUUCUUCUGUCUUCAUAUAAAAUGUGCUGGUUUCGUAAUGUACUUGUAAUUUGAAGAUGUUUGUAGAAAUGUAAAAUCAAAUGUGAAGAAUACAAAAUCUAUAUUAAAGACAUUUAAAUUUAACAAAAUAUAGCAUUAGUCUUUAUUUUAAAAAUUGAGUCCUACAUGGCUCACUUGCAAAAAGUGGGAUAGAUUUAAAAAGUUGUGUACUGGUAAAGUCUGACUUACUAAAAGGUGAAAUUAUUUUCUUCCUCCCUACGGUAAUAUUUUCUUGAUUUAUACCUAUUAAAGAUCUCUCCUUCUCUUGAGUUCUCUGU